ACUCCUACGGGAGGCAGCAGUGGGUAAUAUUGCACAAUGGGGCCAAGCCUGAUGCAGCCAUGCCGCGUGUAUGAAGAAGGCCUUCGGGUUGUAAAGUACUUUCAGCGGGGAGGAAGGUGAGAGGUCAUCCCUCAGCAAUGACGUACC
rnacentral:rRNA from 1 species